UGUAUCUUCUUAAAAUGUGAUUUUAAACCUUAACUACACUUCUAACCUUAUGCUUACCCCUAUCCUUAAAUGAAAAAUAAAUAAAAAAUUCAAUUGUUUUCAUACAUUUUGACGAUAUAAGUUAACUGCGCUAUAUAGUGAAAUCGACGUAAUGACGUUCCAUGUAUACGGAUGUUGGGUGCAUGAAGCAGAAAUCUCUCUAACUAGCUGUUGUCAGAUAUGUUCAAACCAGCCACCAGAAAAGACCAAUGGCACUAAAAAUGCUACAGAUUUUAACUGCCCAUAUCUUUGAUUAUGACCCUUUUCACGGUCCACUUUCAGGAGAAACCUCAUCAUACAGGCAAGUAAGGAGGAGGACUAGUUAACUGCAAGAUGAGUUCCCAAGAUGUGCUGGAAAAUGCCUCUACUCUCGCAUCAUACAAUGUCUUGCUUCAGGUCAUGUUUCGUGUACUCACCUUUCUGCUGAACGUGUUCACGCUGCGCUUUAUGUCCAAAGAGCUGAUUGGCGUGGUUAACGUCAGUUGCCAUGUUACCAUGAUGAAUACACUCCUGCUGCAGUAAUCCAGGAUGGCACAUCAAUGCGAGCUGUGGCAAGAAGGUUUGCUGUGUCUGUCAGCGUAGUGUCCAGAG